rnacentral:rRNA from 1 species
GUUAUAUGGUCAAGUGACGAAGCGUACACGGUGGAUGCCUUGGCAGCCAGAGGCGAUGAAGGACGUUGUAGCCUGCGAUAAGCUUCGGGGAGUCGGCAAACAGACUUUGAUCCGGAGAUUUCCGAAUGGGGAAACCCACCCUUUAUGGGUAUCCUGUACUGAAUCCAUAGGUGCAGGAGGCGAACGCGGGGAACUGAAACAUCUAAGUACCCGUAGGAACAGAAAUCAAUUGAGAUUCCGUCAGUAGCGGCGAGCGAACGCGGAUUAGCCCUUAAGCAUAUGACUGAUUAGGAGAACGGUCUGGGAAGGCCGGCCAUAGUGGGUGAUAGCCCCGUAUCCGAAAAUCUGAAUAUGUGAAAACGAGUAGGUCGGGGCACGUGAAACCUUGACUGAACAUGGGGGGACCAUCCUCCAAGGCUAAAUACUCCUGGCUGACCGAUAGUGAACCAGUACCGUGAGGGAAAGGCGAAAAGAACCCCGGAGAGGGGAGUGAAAUAGACCCUGAAACCGUGUACGUACAAGCAGUCGGAGCCCGCUUUGUUGGGUGACGGCGUACCUUUUGUAUAAUGGGUCAGCGACUUAUUCUCAGUAGCGAGGUUAACCAAUUAGGGGAGCCGUAGGGAAACCGAGUCUGAAUAGGGCGAUAUAGUUGCUGGGAAUAGACCCGAAACCGAGCGAUCUACCCAUGGGCAGGUUGAAGGUGCGGUAACACGCACUGGAGGACCGAACCGGGAUCUGUUGAAAAAGAUUCGGAUGACCUGUGGGUCGGAGUGAAAGGCUAAUCAAGCUCGGAGAUAGCUGGUUCUCCCCGAAAGCUAUUUAGGUAGCGCCUCGGACGAAUACCACUGGGGGUAGAGCACUGUUUCGGCUAGGGGGCCAUCCCGGCUUACCAACCCGAUGCAAACUCCGAAUACCAGUGAGUACUAUCCGGGAGACACACGGCGGGUGCUAACGUUCGUCGUGAAGAGGGAAACAACCCAGACCGCCAG